rnacentral:rRNA from 1 species
UACAGAGGUCUCAAGCGUUGUUCGGAAUUACUGGGCGUAAAGGGUGCGCAGGCCGCGCGGGCAGUCAAAUGUGUAAUUCAGGGGCUCAACCUCUGGACUGCGCUUGAUACUUCCGUGCUCGAACCUUGGAGAGGGAUCUGGAAUUCUCGGUGUAGCAGUGAAAUGCGUGGAUAUCGAGAAGAACACCUAGGGCGAAAGCAAGAUCCUGGACAAGUGUUGACGCUCAUGCACGAAGGCUAGGGGAGCGAACGGG